GCACAAUCUCUGCUCACUGCAACCUCCACCUCCCAGGUUCAAGCAAUUCUUCUGCCUCAGCCUCCUGAGCAGCUGGGAUUACAGCUGAAAUGCCAGAAGUUGGAAAACACCACAAGAAAGUCAUGGGCCUUUUAGCCUGUGUGUUGCUGUCCAUGGCCAAUGACCGAACCCCUGCAUUGGAGCUUGCAGUGAAGCGGACAGCUCCGGCAUG